GACGAACGCUGGCGGCGUGCUUAACACAUGCAAGUCGAGCGGAGCGGCGAACGGGUGAGUAAAGCGUGAGUCACUGCCACCCUCUCUGGGAUAAAAGUUGGAAACGGCUGCUAAUACCGGCAAGUGGGGGGGGCCUCGCGUCCUAUCAGCUUGUUGGUGGGGUAGGGGCAUACCAAGGCGACGACGGGUAGCCGGCCUGAGAGGGCGAACGGCCACCUCGGUCUGUGUUACUGCCCCAACUCCUACGGGAGCCAGCAGUCGGGAAUAUGGCCAAAUGGGGGAAAAUCUGAUGCAGCAACGCCGCUUGCGGGAUGACUGCCUUCGUGUUGUAAACCGCUUUAAGCCAUGACGCGGUAGUGUCAGAAGUAGCACCGACUAACUACCUGCCAGCAGCCGCGGUAAUAC
rnacentral:rRNA from 1 species